rnacentral:rRNA from 1 species
ACGUAGGGGACGAGCGUUGUCCGGAUUUAUUGGGCGUAAAGGGCGCGCAGGCGGUCAUUUAAGUCUGCUGUGAAAUGGCUUGGCUUAACCGGAUCAUGGGUUGGAAACUGUAUGACUGGAGUACAGGAGAGGCAAGUGGAAUUCCCAGUGUAGCGGUGAAAUGCGUAGAUAUUGGGAGGAACACCAGUGGCGAAGGCGGCUUACUGGCCAGCAACUGACGCUGAGGCGCGAAAGCCAGGGGAGCAAACGG